rnacentral:rRNA from 1 species
GAUGAACGCUAGCUACAGGCUUAACACAUGCAAGUCGAGGGGAAACGACAUCGAAAGCUUGCUUUUGAUGGGCGUCGACCGGCGCACGGGUGAGUAACGCGUAUCCAACCUGCCCAUCACUUGGGGGAUAACCUUGCGAAAGUAAGACUAAUACCCAAUGAUAUCUCUAGAAGACAUCUGAAAGAGAUUAAAGAUUUAUCGGUGAUGGAUGGGGAUGCGUCUGAUUAGCUUGUUGGCGGGGUAACGGCCCACCAAGGCGACGAUCAGUAGGGGUUCUGAGAGGAAGGUCCCCCACAUUGGAACUGAGACACGGUCCAAACUCCUACGGGAGGCAGCAGUGAGGAAUAUUGGUCAAUGGGCGAGAGCCUGAACCAGCCAAGUAGCGUGCAGGACGACGGCCCUAUGGGUUGUAAACUGCUUUUAUAAGGGAAUAAAGUGAGUCUCGUGAGACUUUUUGCAUGUACCUUAUGAAUAAGGACCGGCUAAUUCCGUGCCAGCAGCCGACGG